UACAGAGGGUGCAAGCGUUAAUCGGAAUUACUGGGCGUAAAGGGUGCGUAGGCGGAUAUAUAAGUCAGAUGUGAAAUCCCUGGGCUUAACUUAGGAACUGCAUUUGAUACUGUGUAUCUAGAGUAUGGUAGAGGUAAGUGGAAUUUCCGGUGUAGCGGUGAAAUGCGUAGAUAUCGGAAGGAACAUCAGUGGCGAAGGCGACUUACUGGACUGAUACUGACGCUGAGGCACGAAAGCGUGGGGAGCGAACAGG
rnacentral:rRNA from 1 species